rnacentral:lncRNA from 1 species
AAACCGGGGCCUGGUGUGUCUGUGCUCUGGGACACGGGUGGCAAAGGUUCCUCGGCUCUACGCAGACCCGACGGGCCCGGGCACGGAGGCGGAUCGCCCGGGACAAACCGACACAGAGCAUGGGAGACCCCGGCCCUUUCCCCGCGCUGCCGGGAGGGGAGAGUCUGGGCCAUCUGUGUCCCCGUACCCCUGCCCCAACAUCCCACCCACUCCCGUGCCUUUGCUGGCCCUUUGUCCCAGGCUCUGGAAAAGCUGACCGUGAGUUCUGAGGACAGAACCAGGGGUAGUUUUCAUGCAUUCACAUAAAUGCUUAUAGAGUGACAAGAUGCCAGGUGCCUGGCCAAGCUCU